UACGUAGGGUGCGAGCGUUGUCCGGAAUUACUGGGCGUAAAGAGCUCGUAGGUGGUUUGUCGCGUUGUUCGUGAAAUCCCACGGCUUAACUGUGGGCGUGCGGGCGAUACGGGCAGACUGGAGUACUGCAGGGGAGACUGGAAGUUCCUGGUGUAGCGGUGGAAUGCGCAGAUAUCAGGAGGAACACCGGUGGCGAAGGCGGGUCUCUGGGCAGUAACUGACGCUGAGGAGCGAAAGCGUGGGGAGCGAACAGG
rnacentral:rRNA from 1 species